CAGUCGCCACGGGAAUACAGAGGGUGCGAGCGUUAAUCGGAUUUACUGGGCGUAAAGCGUGCGUAGGCGGCUUCUUAAGUCGGAUGUGAAAUCCCUGAGCUUAACUUAGGAAUUGCAUUCGAUACUGGGAAGCUAGAGUAUGGGAGAGGAUGGUAGAAUUCCAGGUGUAGCGGUGAAAUGCGUAGAGAUCUGGAGGAAUACCGAUGGCGAAGGCAGCCAUCUGGCCUAAUACUGACGCUGAGGUACGAAAGCAUGGGGAGCAAACAGGAUUAGAUACCCCCGUAGUCCUGUCUCUUAUACA
rnacentral:rRNA from 1 species